AGUGAACGCUGGCGGUAGGCCUAACACAUGCAAGUCGAACGGCAGCACAGUAAGAGCUUGCUCUUACGGGUGGCGAGUGGCGGACGGGUGAGGAAUACAUCCGAAUCUACUUUUUCGUGGGGGAUAACGUAGGGACACUUACGCUAAUACCGCAUACGACCUACGGGUGAAAGCAUGGGAUCUUCGGCCCUUGCGCGAUUGAAUGAGCCGAUGUCGGAUUAGCUAGUUGGCGGGGUAAAGGCCCACCAAGGCGACGAUCCGUAGCUGGUCUGAGAGGAUGAUCAGCCACACUGGAACUGAGACACGGUCCAGACUCCUACGGGAGGCAGCAGUGGGGAAUAUUGGACAAUGGGCGCAAGCCUGAUCCAGACAUACCGCGUGGGUGAAGAAGGCCUUCGGGUUGUAAAGCCCUUUUGUUGGGAAAGAAAAGCAGAAGGUUAAUACCCCGCUGUUCUGACGGUACCCAAAGAAUAAGCACCGGCGAAAUUCGUG
rnacentral:rRNA from 1 species